rnacentral:rRNA from 1 species
UACGGAGGGUGCGAGCGUUGUCCGGAAUCAUUGGGCGUAAAGGGCGCGUAGGUGGCCUGCUAAGCGUGCGGUGAAAGCUCGGGGCUCAACCCCGAGUCGGCCGUGCGAACUGGUGGGCUUGAGCACUGUAGAGGCAGGCGGAAUUCCGGGUGUAGCGGUGGAAUGCGUAGAGAUCCGGAAGAACACCGGUGGCGAAGGCGGCCUGCUGGGACAGUGCUGACGCUGAGGCGCGACAGCGUGGGGAGCAAACAGG